UUGGCGUCCCCUAUGUUUACACCCAGAGCCGAAUUCUCAAGGCCAGGCUAGAGUAUCUGCGGGACCAGUUCCAGAUCCGAGAGAAUGACUUCCUCACCUUUGAUGCCAUGCGCCAUGCAGCGCAGUGUGUGGGUCGCGCUAUCAGGGGCAAGACAGACUAUGGACUCAUGGUCUUUGCUGACAAGCGGUUUGCUCGAGCUGACAAGCGUGGGAAGCUGCCUCGAUGGAUCCAGGAGCAUCUGACUGACUCCAACCUCAACCUGACCGUGGAUGAGGGUGUACAGGUCGCCAAGUACUUCCUGCGGCAGAUGGCACAGCCCUUCCACCGGGUAAGCCUGGGCCCCGCACGCUUCUCCCGCCACCAGGUGUGCACAUGCUUCCUAGUCACCUCAGGCCCCAUAUUCAGGAGGUAAAGGACAGGUGAGAGCGCUAGUUCCCUUUUCCUAGUCUGGCCGUGUGCUCCAGCCACCGGACACUCUCAGUCACGUAGUUGGAUGCGAGCUGACGCCUGUCCUUUGCCUCUGUCCCCUCA
rnacentral:lncRNA from 1 species